GAUGAAGAACGCAGCGAAAUGCGAUAAUUAAUGUGAAUUGCAGAAUUCCGUGAAUCAUCGAGUCUUUGAACGCACAUUGCGCCUCAUGGCAUUCCGUGAGGCAUGCCCAUCUCAGCGUUAGAAAAUAUUCUCAAAUUUUAGUUUUGUGCUAAAAUCUGGAUCAUGUCAAGGAAGCUAUUACUAUUAUUGUGAUCGCUCUUUGGAAAUUGAUAGGUCUUUGAGUUGCUACUCAUAGAACGUGAUGAAUCUUUCUUCGUUCUAUUGUAAUUCACUCUGGUAGUCCUAAAACUUGUAUGCCUGUGGCAUAUCUUGUAAUUUGACCUGAGAUUGGGUAGGGAUACCCGCUGAACUUAAGCAUAUCAAUAAGCGGAGGA
rnacentral:misc_RNA from 1 species